CAAAGAGUUGGACACAACUGAGCAACUGAACAUGCAAACACACACCACUUAGAAGAAGAAGGGGAACUGUCCCAAACCACCUGACCUAGCCAGGCACCAUAGUAACCACCUGCACGAGUCAUCCUGCAACAGGAGCUUCUGGUAAAGAACUUGAAACAAAGAGGCUGCCCCCAGCCAGACGAAUUCAGAACAGGUCCAAAGGACAGAGGAGAUGCCAGUUCAUAUGUCCGGCCAAGCUCCCAGAAUCCUUCUCGCUAGGAUCCAUCCUGAGUGAUGCUUGUUCCCCUCGGAAGAGCCCUGAGUCAGAAUGACCGGCACCUAACCUCCUCACCACAAAACCUGAGACUGAGCCACGUGGAGCGCAGUCCUUCCGGGUCCCCUCGCCCUCUUGCUCUCUGCCUGCGCAUGCCUUUUCCGAUAAAUGCUCUUGCUUUGUCAGCACGAGGGUCUCUCUGAACAAUUCAUUUCCGAGUGUUAGGCAAGAGCCAAUCCUCAGGCCCUGGAAGGGGUCCCCCUUUCCGCACCAUACCCAUUCGAAUUUUGUAAAUUUACUAAAAUAAAUCCAUAAAAGUGAGCACUUUAAUCAUUUUUAAGUGCACAGUUCAGUGAUAUUAAGUACAUUUAUUCACAUUGUUGUGCAAUCAUCAUUCUUCGCCCAUUCUUAAUUGUCUUUUUAAAUUUAUCUUUCAGUGUUUAAUUUUUAUAUCCUGGAAACAAGUCUCUUAAUGGAAAAUGAUUUGAGAAUAUUUCCUCUCAUCCUGUAGGUUGUUCUUUCACUGUCUUGAGGGUGUUUUAAUAAAAUUCUUUAAUAAAUUCCCUUCAUGCUCUAA